AGCAGCCGCGGUAAUUCCAGCUCCAAUAGCGUAUAUUAAAGUUGUUGCAGUUAAAAAGCUCGUAGUUGAAUUUCGGGAUUAGUAGGCUGGUCGUGCCACUGGUAUGUACUGGUCUUACUGACUUCUCCUUUCUGAAGAACUGUAAUGCCAUUAAUUUGGUGUUGCAGGGAAUCAGGACUGUUACUUUGAAAAAAUUAGAGUGUUUAAAGCAGGCUAACGCCUGAAUACAUUAGCAUGGAAUAAUGAAAUAGGGCGUUCGAUCUUAUUUUGUUGGUUUCUAGGAUUGACGUAAUGAUUAAUAGGGAUAGUUGGGGGCAUUAGUAUUCAAUUGUCAGAGGUGAAAUUCUUGGAUUUAU
rnacentral:rRNA from 1 species